rnacentral:rRNA from 1 species
GACGAACGCUGGCGGCGUGCUUAACACAUGCAAGUCGAACGAAGAGCGAUGGAAGCUUGCUUCUAUCAAUCUUAGUGGCGCACGGGUGAGUAACGCGUAAUCAACCUGCCCUUCAGAGGGGGACAACAGUUGGAAACGACUGCUAAUACCGCAUACGAUCUGACCUCGGCAUCGAGGAUAGAUGAAAGGUGGCCUCUAUUUAUAAGCUAUCACUGAAGGAGGGGAUUGCGUCUGAUUAGCUAGUUGGAGGGGUAACGGCCCACCAAGGCGAUGAUCAGUAGCCGGUCUGAGAGGAUGAACGGCCACAUUGGGACUGAGACACGGCCCAGACUCCUACGGGAGGCAGCAGUGGGGAAUCUUCCGCAAUGGACGAAAGUCUGACGGAGCAACGCCGCGUGAGUGAUGACGGCCUUCGGGUUGUAAAGCUCUGUUAAUCGGGACGAAAGGCCUUCUUGCGAAUAGUUAGAAGGAUUGACGGUACCGGAAGAGAAAGCCACGGCUAACUACGUG